CCUACGGGAGGCUGCAGUGAGGAAUAUUGGUCAAUGGUCGGGAGACUGAACCAGCCAAGCCGCGUGAGGGAUGAAGGUACAGAGUAUCGUAAACCUCUUUUGUCAGGGAACAAAGGCGGGGACGUGUCCCCGGAUGAGUGUACCUGAAGAAAAAGCAUCGGCUAACUCCGUGCCAGCAGCCGCGGUAAUACGGAGGAUGCGAGCGUUAUCCGGAUUUAUUGGGUUUAAAGGGUGCGCAGGCGGUCUGUUAAGUCAGCGGUAAAAGCCCGGGGCUCAACCACGUCCGGCCGUUGAAACUGGCAGUCUCGAGUUGGAGAGAAGUAGGCGGAAUGCGCGGUGUAGCGGUGAAAUGCAUAGAUAUCGCGCAGAACUCCGAUUGCGAAGGCAGCAUGCCGGCUCCACACUGACGCUGAGGCACGAAAGCGUGGGUAUCGAACAGGAUUAGAUACCCCAGUAGUC
rnacentral:rRNA from 1 species